rnacentral:lncRNA from 1 species
GCGGAGCGGCGGUUCUCAACCAAUUGCCUGAGCGGUUCGGAUUCUUCGAAGCAACGGCAUAAAGGAAUUUGGUUAGAGUUUCUAUACUUCUCUAAUUUGGUCUUCUCGGUUUUACGAAAAGCUUUUUCGGUAUUUUCUUGGAGUUUUCGUUGGAACAAGAAAGGUGGGAUUCACCAUAAGGUUCUUGGUUUUUUAUCCGGAGAAGACAUAAGGUGUAAGCUUGUACUUCUAUUUCUUCAUAUAGUGGAAUACAUCUCUCUCGCUCUCCCCGUGGACGUAGGCAAUUGCCGAACCACGUAAAUCUUGGUUUCUUCUUUCUGCAUUUAUUUCUUUUACCGUUCGGUCGAUUUUCUCUAUUUUUCGUGCAUCUUUGUUGGUAGCACAUGACGGACGAUCCAUCCGGUUCCCAACAAGUGGUAUCAGAGCGUAAGGUUCGUGCUACAUCAGAGAUGUCGAAAGUCUCGUCUUCUAAGUUUGAGGUGGAGAAAUUUGACGGUAAAGGAAACUUCGGUCUCUGGCAGAGAAGAGUGAAAGCCCUUCUGGUUCAACAGGGCCUUCAUAAGGCGUUGCUCGGAAAAUCGAAAAAGCCGACAUCGAUGAGCGACGAAGAUUGGGAGGAUAUUGAUCUGCGAGCGGUGAAUACAAUUAUAUUGUGUCUAGCAGAUGAGGUGAUGUAUAACGUAAUGGAUGAAGAAACUACAGUCGGCAUGUGGAACAAGCUAGAGAAGCUGUACAUGACCAAAAGCCUCUCGAACGUGCUGUACCUAAAGCAAAAAUUAUAUGGGCUACGCAUGAAGGAAGGUACGGCAAUAACGGAACACUUGAACACCUUUAAUAAAAUUAUUGCGGAUUUGCUCAGCAUUAAUGUCAAGGUUGACGAGGACGAUAAGGCGUUGAUUUUUCUUACAUCACUUCCGUCGUCCUACAAUCACUUGGUGACCACCAUACUGUACGGGAAGCAAACUCUAAAGAUGGAAGAUGUUACAUCGACACUUUUAUCUGAAGAGAUCAGGUUGCAGGCGAGUACCGAAGAAAGCAGUGCAGGUUUGGUCGUAAAUGAUACAAGUGGAGGAAGGGGACGAUCAAGAGAACGUGAUGCAGGUAAAGGAAGAUCCCGUUCCAAGUCAAAAUCGAAAAAGGUGAAGUGUUACUUCUGUAAGAAAGAGGGCCACAUGAAAAAGAACUGCGAAAAGAGGAAGGCUUGGCUGCGAAAUCAGAAUUCCUCUGCAGAUACGGCGAGCGUAGCCAGUGAUUCCGGUCAGGACGUCUUGACGGUUACAACAGAUUCUGACUCUCACGGUGACUGGAUAUUAGAUUCUGGUUGUUCUUAUCACAUGUCUCCAAACAGGUCUUUAUUUGAUACUUAUAAGUCUUGUGAAGGCAGUAGUGUUAUGAUGGGUAAUCGCACUAGCUGCAAGAUGGUCGGUAUCGGAACAGUAAAAAUAAAGAUGUUUGAUGGUGUGGUGAGGACGUUAACGGAUGUGAGACACAUUCCGGAUCUCAGGUUAAAUCUUAUAUCACUUGGUACUCUUGACUCUACUGGCUGUUCUAUUAGCAUUUCAGGUGGAGUCGUCAAGGUUAAAAAGGGUGCCAUGGUCGUCAUGAAGGGAGAGAAGAAAGGGAAUCUGUACAGGCUGAUCGGCGAGUCGGUGAUUGGAGGCGUUGCGGUAACAUCCUCAGAAGAUCAUGAUGCUGAUGAUACGGAGCUCUGGCACAUGAGACUAGCCCACAUGAGUGAAAGAGGGAUGUUGGAACUGCAUAAAAGGGGAGUACUCAAAGGUAUUAAAUCCUGUAAACUUAAUUUCUGCAAAUUUUGUUUAUUUGGAAAACAGAAAAGGUUGAGUUUCAGGACCUCCAGUCAUAAAAGUAAAAGUAUACUUGAGUAUAUCCAUGCGGACGUGUGGGGACCGGCUCCGGUGACUUCGAAAGGUGGUGCGCGAUAUUUUAUUACAUUUAUCGAUGAUUUCUCCCGUAAGGUUUGGGUAUUCUUCAUGAAGGAAAAGUCUGAGGCAUUUAUAAAGUUCAGACAUUGGAAGAAUGAGGUGGAGAAACAAACUGGGAAGCAGGUCAAGGUUCUUCGAACGGACAAUGGUGGAGAGUUCACUUCUCGGGAGUUUAAGAAAUUCUGCAAGGAUGAAGGUAUUGUACGUCAUUACACGGUUCCAGGUACUGCACAGCAGAAUGGGGUAGCAGAAAGGAUGAACCGGACAUUGCUAGAACGUGCCAGAUCCAUGAGGUUAUGUGCAGAUUUGCCAAAGGAGUUCUGGGCUGAAGCAGUAGAUAUGGCGUGCUAUAUUAUUAAUCGAUCUCCCGCCACAGCAAUCGAACUCAAAACACCGGAGGAAGUAUGGACAGGUAAACUUGCAGAUUAUUCCUCCUUACGGGUCUUUGGUUGUCCUGCUUAUGUCCAUAUCCAGGAAAAUCAGCGCACAAAAUUAGAUUCGAAGUCAAAGCCCUGCAUAUUUCUUGGGUACGAUAUGGGUGUUAAAGGAUACAAGCUGUGGGACCCUAUCGCCAAGAAGAAGGUGAUUAGCAGGGACGUAGUUUUUGACGAAAAAGCUAUGCCGCGUAAGGAUCAUCAGGAGGCUCAACGUGAAGAACAGUCAAAAACUACGCAGAUCCAGGUGGAGCGGCAAGAGGGUGUAGAUGAUCAGGUGGAGCAGCCCCACUAUCAGGAUGAUCAUGGUACACAAAGCGAUCCGAUUGAAAGCACUUCGGAGGAGCCCUACUCUAUCGCUAAAGGAAGGGAAAGGAGACAGAUUCGUCCACCUUUACGGUACAGGUUGGAGGAUAUAGUAUCUUAUGCCUUAUUAAUUACAUCAGAUGAUCCCACUUCCUAUCAGGAGGCGAUGCAGGACAGAGAUAGUGGCAGAUGGAUGGCGGCUAUGACAGAAGAGAUGGAGUCUCUACAGAAGAAUCAGACAUGGGAUCUGAUUCCAUUACCGGAAGGGAAGAGAUCUAUCGGUUGCAAGUGGAUCUACAAAAAGAAGCAGGGUGCAGAUGGAGAACCAGAAAAAUUCAAGGCGCGGUUAGUAGCCAAGGGCUAUGCGCAAGUAAAGGGAGUUGAUUUCAAUGAGAUUUUCUCACCGGUGGUAAAACAUGCGUCAAUCAGGAUGCUUCUAGCGAUGGUGGCUAUGUUUGAUUUAGAGCUUCAGCAGCUUGACGUUCGAACCGCAUUUCUUCAUGGGGAUCUAGUAGAAGAAAUUUAUAUGGAACAACCUCAAGGUUUUGUUCAGCCGGGGAAGGAGAAUCUGGUGUGCAAACUGAAAAGAUCUCUCUACGGGUUGAAGCAGGCACCGAGGCAGUGGUAUAAGCGGUUUGACGGGUUUAUGAUCGAGCAUGGUUAUAGCAGAAGUUUAUAUGACAGUUGUGUCUACUAUCGGAGGCUUGAAGAUGGUUCGUUUAUUCUGCUUAUGCUAUAUGUAGACGAUAUGCUUAUAGCAGCUAAGAAUCCGAAUGAAGUGCAACAAUUAAAGGAUCAGUUGAGCCGAGAAUUUGACAUGAAGGACCUAGGAGGUGCUAGGAAAAUCCUAGGUAUGGAGAUCAGACGCGACCGCAUACAGGGUAAGUUAUGGUUAUCGCAGAAGACAUAUAUACGAGCUAUUAUAAAGCAAUUUAAUAUGUCAGAGGCGAAGGCGGUCAAGACUCCAUUAGCCCAACACUUCAAACUUUCUGAGGAGAUGUGUCCCAAGACGGAUGAGGAGAUUACUUCUAUGUCAAAGAUACCAUAUGCUAGUGCAGUCGGUUGCCUGAUGUAUGCUAUGAUCUGCACUAGGCCUGAUCUUUCACAUGCAGUUAGUGUUGUCAGUCGGUAUAUGUCGAAUCCAGGAAAACAACACUGGGAGGCCGUGAAGUGGAUUUUGCGGUAUCUGAAGGGCACAUCAGAUAAAGGUAUUCUCUACUCGAAAGAUUCUGGUAAUGAUGAAGUGAAGGGGUUUGUAGAUUCCGACUAUGCCGGUGAUUUGGACAAGCGUAGGUCUAUUACAGGUUACGUCUUUCUGCUGGGCGGCGGACCUAUUAGUUGGAAAUCUACGUUGCAGCGCACUGUAGCCUUGUCAACUACAGAAGCAGAGUAUAUGGCGGCAAUUGAAGCAGCUAAGGAAGCAGUCUGGCUUAGAGGCUUGGUUGGUGAACUCGGGAUCGUGCAGGAAAAAAUGAUUAUCGGUUGUGAUAGUCAAAGUGCUAUAUGUCUCGCCAGGAAUCCAGUUUACCAUGGGAGGACAAAGCACAUAGAAAUCAAAUAUCACAAAUUACGGGAGCUCACUAAUGAGGAUGAUGGAGAAAUUCAGCUUAUAAAGGUUUCCACAAAGGAUAAUGUAGCUGAUAUCAUGACAAAGCCGGUAACAGCGGAUAAGUUUAGACACUGUCUAAACUUGGCUAAUUUGCAUGACUGCUAGUGACUGAGAUGCCUCAGGGAGAGGGGGCGAUAAGAUGAGAGAGAGUAAUGAAGUAAAAAAGAAGUCAAGGUGGAGAAUGUUAAAGAUAUGCCUUCUUUUUUGGUUUGGUUCAUAUACCGGAUUUAUGGAAAAAUAAAAAGGAUCUCAUAAGGAUUUAUUUUGGUGGAUCCUAAUUUAAAUUGGAAUCCAAGAUGGAUUAGGAUUGGUUUCCAUAUAAUACUCUAUAUUCAAUAAUCAUAUUGAAUUAGAGUAGGAUUGAGCCAAAUCAUUCUCUAUAUAUAUACAUGCAUAUGCAUGCACGGAAAGGGAGCCGCGUGUAGAGGCCAAAAUUAAUUAGCCAUAUAAUUAAAGGUGGCCCUGGGCAUGUACGGCUUGAGGGGGUAUAAAGGAAAAUUAAGUAGCAUCCGGUGAAUAGCUAAUUAAUUAAGGUGCCUCGUCGUACGGUAGCAAGAGAAGGAGAUGCACGGUAGCACGCAUGCGACGGAUUGACGUUGGCGGCGGAGCGGCGGAGCGGCGGUUCUUAACCAAUUGCCUGAGCGGUUCGGAUUCUUCGAAGCAACGGCAUAAAGGAAUUUGGUUAGAGUUUCUAUACUUUUCUAAUUUGGUCUUCUCGGUUUUACGAAAAGCUUUUUCUGGUAUUUUCUUGGAGUUUUCGUUGGAACAAGAAAGGUGGGAUUUACCAUAAGGUUCUUGGUUUUUUAUCCGGAGAAGACAUAAGGUGUAAGCUUGUACUUCUAUUUCUUCAUAUAGUGGAAUACAUCUCUCUCGCUCUCCCCAUGAACGUAGGCGAUUGCCGAACCACGUAAAUCUUGGUUUCUUCUUUCUGCAUUUAUUUCUUUUACCGUUCGUUCGGUCGAUUUUCUCUAUUUUUCGUGCAUCUUUGUUGGUAGCACAUGACGGACGAUCCAUCCGGUUCCCAACAUUAAAUGAUUUUAGGCAAACAAAAUUUAUGAUUUUUUAUCAAAU